GGUUAACCGUAUAGGGGAGCCGCAGGGAAACCGAGUCUUAACUGGGCGUUAAGUUGCAGGGUAUAGACCCGAAACCCGGUGAUCUAGCCAUGGGCAGGUUGAAGGUUGGGUAACACUAACUGGAGGACCGAACCGACUAAUGUUGAAAAAUUAGCGGAUGACUUGUGGCUGGGGGUGAAAGGCCAAUCAAACCGGGAGAUAGCUGGUUCUCCCCGAAAGCUAUUUAGGUAGCGCCUCGUGAACUCAUCUUCGGGGGUAGAGCACUGUUUCGGCUAGGGGGUCAUCCCGACUUACCAACCCGAUGCAAACUACGAAUACCGAAGAAUGUUAUCACGGGAGACACACGGCGGGUGCUAACGUCCGUCGUGAAGAGGGAAACAACCCAGACCGCCAGCUAAGGUCCCAAAGUCAUGGUUAAGUGGGAAACGAUGUGGGAAGGCACAGACAGCCAGGAUGUUGGCUUAGAAGCAGCCAUCAUUUAAAGAAAGCGUAAUAGCUCACUGGUCGAGUCGGCCUGCGCGGAAGAUGUAACGGGGCUAAACCAUGCACCGAAGCUGCGGCAGCGACACUAUGUGUUGUUGGGUAGGGGAGCGUUCUGUAAGCCUGCGAAGGUG
rnacentral:rRNA from 1 species